GCUCCGCUAGUCUAGAUUGGUUAAAGCCAAGGACAAUCCGGUCAAGGAUGGCGGCCUUUCGAGCCGCAGACACGGGUUCAAAUCCCGUGCGGAGCA
rnacentral:tRNA from 1 species